rnacentral:rRNA from 1 species
CCUACGGGAGGCAGCAGUAGGGAAUCUUCCACAAUGGGCGAAAGCCUGAUGGAGCAACGCCGCGUGAGUGAUGAAGGCCUUCGGGUUGUAAAACUCUGUCAUUCGGGACGAACCGGAGUCUGAGGAAAUGCAGACUCUCUGACGGUACCGGAGGAGGAAGCCCCGGCUAACUACGUGCCAGCAGCCGCGGUAAUACGUAGGGGGCAAGCGUUGUCCGGAUUCACUGGGCGUAAAGCGCGCGCAGGCGGUGAUGUAAGUCUGAGGUGAAAACCCGAAGCUCAACUUCGGGACUGCCUUGGAUACUGCGUCACUUGAGGAUAGGAGAGGCAAGGGGAAUUCCACGUGUAGCGGUGAAAUGCGUAGAGAUGUGGAGGAACACCUGUGGCGAAGGCGCCUUGCUGGCCUAUUUCUGACGCUGAGGCGCGAAAGCGUGGGGAGCAAACAGGAUUAGAUACCCUGGUAGUCCACGCUGUAAACGAUGAGUGCUAGGUGUAGGUGGGCUCAUACCCAUCUGUGCCGAAGCUAACGCAUUAAGCACUUCCGCGUGGGUUAGGUUACGGUCGCGAGACGNGAACGACGAAGAGUUAGUUAGGACGCGAGAGACGCGACGGACGGACGACGACGGAGGAGGUAG